AGAGGACAGAUGAGUGGUAGGCUAGCGCCGACGGAAGAAAGCCGUGAGGCAACAAGAAUUACAAAUGGACGGAGCUGACAGCAACACAAUUGAAGCAUGUAUCCGCAGACAAAGGAAAGCACGGUUUUAUGGCGUGGCAGAUGACUUUCGUGAGCUGGAUUGACAUUUAUGUUCGGUGGAAGUUCAUAAAGUACGAGUCCAUCGAGUGCAACAACGACAAGCCCUGCGGGAUUUAAGAGCCAAUUUCUGUGAUUGUUUCAGGUGAUGGCGGCAGAAUUGAAGAGGACUGCAGUCAUUAUCCUGAAGUUGAUCUGCUGCGAGAAGCGUAAACAGCAAGAAAUAACAAAGAAUCUGCCUUCGUGAAUUCUAAUAUCCCUGGAAAAAAAAUAACAGACGCAUUCGUCGUUAUGGUCUAUAUUUUAUACGUCAAUCUGUCUAUUCCAAUGUGAAUGAUUCAAGUGCGCUGCAUCCGCCAGCCAUUCCAAUCUGCUCCGACUGAAUCCGGAGAAGCCAGGUCAAAGACUGAGUCGCAAGGGCAACAGUCAGAGUGAAGAGGUCCAGACGUCCCUCCCCCAGGAAACCUCCUCCAGAUCUCUUAGGGAAACACUGAGACAUUCCCAGGCCAACAGACCAUAGUCUCUUCAACAUGUCACGGAUCUGCACUGGCGCCUCCUUUUGUGCAAAAUAUUUGGAAGAAACACUUGCAUAUGGUGUGCAAGGACCUCAAGGCAUCAAAUAUUGUCAAGCGGACUUCAGCGUCUUAGAGUGACACUGAAGGCAACAGGCUCUGUUGAAUGCUGACGCUGCAGGCUUUCAAUAAAAUUUUCAUUGAAAGGUACAGUGAACCCACGCCAUAACGUGGUUCACCUUUUGCGGCUUCGCUGUUUCGCGGUCUUCGCACCUCAUCUCUGGACAGCUUGCCAAAUUGCCAUUUGCAAGUUUUCUCCACGGCUAACCCAUACAAUGUCGUCCAAACACUCUGCACCGGCAAAGGCACCUGAGGAGGAGAGAUAGUUUUUCUAAAAACUAUCAUAGUAAACUAUCAUACAGAGCGUUACGGAGCACCCAUGACUGAGGACUCUGCCAAGGACCAAGCCAAUCGCUCCCGCACUCAUGAACAGAAGACCCCCAUCCUUGAUUCUACCCUCAGAGCACGGCCAAAGAACAACAUGGCUCUCUCGUGAGAGCUUCCACUGACACAAGUCUAGUCACGUAAGCACAUCUUGUACAGCCCGUCUCUCUUUUCAAAUGUAAAAUUUGUCUGCAGUUUCUAUAUGAGGCCAUCAUUUUAAAUUGUCGCAUGGAAGUGAGUUUCAUUUUGUUUCCAUGCAUAAUUAAAGACAGCUGAAUCUAAAACAGCCAAUUCAACACCCUGAUUCAUUUUCAUGUGUCCAAUAAAUUUAUGCGGGUUCAGGUUACAUACUAAAUCCUCAUUACAUUACAUUAUAGUCAGCUUUCCUUGUCACGAUGCAUCAAACACAUUGACUUUUUCUUUUUUUCUGUGUCGCAGAAACAUGUAGAUUUCGAAAGAUCUGAAGGAGGCACCACAACCUUGCAUGGAUAGACAGUGUCGUAUCAUGGUUAAGUGCACAGAGAGGGACGGGAGACAUGUUGGACCGUGUGUCAUUGAUCAUCACGCCAAGCUUUCUCACAACCUUGGCGGUUGGGAAGGGGGCGGAAGCCAUUUGUAUA